rnacentral:rRNA from 1 species
UACAGAGGUCUCAAGCGUUGUUCGGAUUCAUUGGGCGUAAAAGGUGCGUAGGCGGCGCGGUAAGUCGGGUGUGAAAUCUCGGGGCUUAACUCCGAAACUGCAUUCGAUACUGCCGUGCUUGAGGACUGGAGAGGAGACUGGAAUUUACGGUGUAGCGGUGAAAUGCGUAGAUAUCUGGAGGAACACCGGUGGCGAAGGCGGCAUCCUGGACCAACACUGACGCUGAGGAGCGAAAGCCAGGGGAGCAAACGGG